rnacentral:rRNA from 1 species
UACGUAGGGUGCGAGCGUUGUCCGGAAUUAUUGGGCGUAAAGAGCUCGUAGGCGGUGUGUCGCGUCGGCCGUGAAAACCUGGGGCUCAACUCUGGGCGUGCGGUCGAUACGGGCAUCACUUGAGUUCGGCAGGGGAGACUGGAAUUCCUGGUGUAGCGGUGAAAUGCGCUGAUAUCAGGAGGAACACCGGUGGCGAAGGCGGGUCUCUGGGCCGAUACUGACGCUGAGGAGCGAAAGCAUGGGUAGCGAACAGG